ACUAACUACCGGUACGUAGCCUCCUUGAAAGGAAGGAGUUAAUACCGGACGUGGUAUCAGAAUUCCGCAUGUUAUUUUGAUUAAAGAUUAAUCGGUUAUGGAUGGGGGUGCGUUCCAUUAGAUAGUUGGCGGGGUAACGGCCCACCAAGUCUACGAUGGAUAGGGGUUCUGAGAGGAAGGUCCCCCACAUUGGAACUGAGACACGGUCCAAACUCCUACGGGAGGCAGCAGUGAGGAAUAUUGGUCAAUGGACGAGAGUCUGAACCAGCCAAGUAGCGUGAAGGAUGACUGCCCUAUGGGUUGUAAACUUCUUUUAUAAGGGAAUAACAGACGUUACGUGUAGCGUUUUGCAUGUACCUUAUGAAUAAGCAUCGGCUAACUCCGUGCC
rnacentral:rRNA from 1 species